CCUACGGGAGGCAGCAGUAGGGAAUAUUGCACAAUGGGGGAAACCCUGAUGCAGCGACGCCGCGUGAGUGAAGAAGUAUUUCGGUAUGUAAAGCUCUAUCAGCAGGGAAGACAAUGACGGGUCCUGACUGACAAUCCCCGGCUAACUACGUGCCAGCAGCCGCGGUAAAACUUAGGGGGCACGCGUUAUGCGGUAUUACGGGGGGUAAAGGGGGCGGAGACUGUGGUGCAAGUCUGAAGUGAAGGCCCGGGGCUCAACUCGGGGAUUGCUUUUGAAACUGUGUGACUGGAGUGCAGGAGAGGUAAGCGGAACUCCAGGUGUAGCGGUGAAAUGCGUAGAUAUAAGGAGGAACACCAGUGGCGAAGGCGGCUCACUGGACUGUAACUGACGUUGAGGCUCGAAAGCGUGGGGAGCAAACAGGAUUAGAUACCCCUGUAGUC
rnacentral:rRNA from 1 species